rnacentral:rRNA from 1 species
GAUCCUGGCUCAGGAUGAACGCUAGCUACAGGCUUAACACAUGCAAGUCGAGGGGCAGCAGGAUCUAGCAAUAGAUUGCUGGCGACCGGCGCACGGGUGAGUAACACGUAUCCAACCUGCCGAUAACUCGGGGAUAGCCUUUCGAAAGAAAGAUUAAUACCGGAUAGUAUAACGAGAAGGCAUCUUUUUGUUAUUAAAGAAUUUCGAUAACCGAUGGGGAUGCGUUCCAUUAGUUUGUUGGCGGGGUAACGG